GUUAGGAUUGUCGUUGAGGCGAGGGAAAGUUCCAAGUCUGCUCGUUCCUGUGUAUCAAAAUCAGAGUACAUGCAGCUUCUUUGUAGGAUCCGCGCUAAUGUCCUUCCCACUUUCACUACAGUCAAAGCUUUAACAAAAUUACUUUUCCAUAAACAAAGAAGUGUUUCACAUAAACACACACUGGGGUAUGAGAGGGAGAAAGACUGUGUGUAUUGUAAGGAGUGAAUGUGGCUGAAGCAAAUGCAGGGAAAAGCAGAGUGCCGUGAAAGUCACUUACAAUUUAGAGAGCUACUUAGUCAAGGUCAUUAUUGUACCAAGUCUUUGUAUGUGAGUGUGUGUGUCUCUGCAUAUGUGCAAAUAUCUGUGUGUCCGCAGAGUGAAUACAAUAAUGCAGCCAUUUUCAGCUAUAGCAGAGUGCAGUAAAACCAUUAAGUGUCUGACAGAAGUGCUGACUGUAGAUUACAGCAGCCCUAAAUCUGAGCCGAGCAUUAUGAGGAUGGUAUGCUCCAAAACACCAUGAAUGGAGAAUAACAAACAAGAAACUUGUUAUGUUACUUUUAUUCAAGACGAUGUUUGCUGAUGCUCGAUGUCCCAGAGUGGUUAUAAUGAUGUUGUGGUAUUGUGCCAGUCAGAAGGUGACAGAUUUGAAUUUAGUAGCAGCCAGAAGCAUUCAGCUCUGUUUAGGUGUCCUUCAGCUGACCCAAAAAGAGCGCACGCUACAUUAAGUUGGUUUCAUUGGACUGGGGUUGUUAAACCAAGGGGAAUAAUAUGAAAUGUAACAGUACCAGAAACCUUUAGCUAUCGCACUGACCUUUAAAAAUAGUUCACAUACAGUUUAUGCAAAAAUUAAAGGACAAUUCUGCGAAAUGAUUUGGAAAAAGUGAUCACCUCUCUUACACAUAAAAAGGAUAAUUAAUUUAGGGUCAAACACACCGUAACACCGAGUUAGACACCCCCUCCAGAGAUGUAUGUUGCCGACCGCUUGCUUCUCUAGUUAGACCAACUUUAGUAAUGACCGCACGAUAGCAAUACACAGCGGUCUGAGGAGCCAUGAACAAACCUCAACCACAACGCCACUCUAUAGCCACAAAUAAUGCUCAGAACAGCACCUAACUUCAUCAUCAGUACAUAUAGGGUCCCAGCCACAGCACUAGCCACCAAACAUCUUUUUAACUUUGCCUGUUUUCUUUAGCAAAGAGACUAAACACAACUCACCUACUCUCUUCCAGCAGCCGCUUGUUUGUAGCGAGACCUCGGGCCAGUCCAUUACGGACUGCUCUAGGGUCCAUUUAUGAUCAUUUCAUCAUGGAAAUGCAAUCAGACCAAGACGCUAAGGCAGAAGAACUACCAUGUCUGCAGUGCAAAAUGACCAAUAUGGUGAUUAUUACGUCAAGGAAAUUAUAAAGUAAUGAUCAUAAAUAAUAAGCAAGCAGCUGCAGGAAGAGAGUAGGUGAGUUGUGUUUAGUAUCUUUGCUAAAGAAAUUAGGCAAAGUUAAAAAGAUGUUUGGUGGCUAGUACUAUGGCUGGGACCCAAUAUGUACUGUUGAUGAAGUAGGGUGCUGUUCUGAGCAUUAUUUGUGGCUAUAGAGUGGCGUUUUGGUUGAGGUUUGUAUAUGGCUCCUCAGACUGCUGUGAAUUGCUAUUGUGCGGUCAUUACUAAAGUUGGUAUAACUAGAGAAGCAAGCGGUCGGCAACAUUUAUCUCUUGACAGGGUGUAUAACUCGGUGGUACAGUGUGUUUGACCCUAAAUUAAUUUAACGCCAGAAUAUCCCUUUAACCCAUCUAGUUCAGGGUUUGACAAAUAAAAAAGGUAAAAUCGGCCUUGUGUUUACAGUUGUGGCUUUUUGCCACUUUAUGAAAAAGACUUAAGGUUAUUAAAAGAACGUUUUUGAAUUCAUUUACCUCUUUCAAUGAUGCUUAAAAACCAAAACAAAAAAAACUGACUAUCAGUCUAGAUGUUAAAGUGUCGCACUUCAAACACAGGAAAAAAACAUUUCAUCAGAAGCCAAUUUUAGUGAUUAUGACUGAUGUUUGUGUCUAUGUGUUUCAAACAACAGGUAAAAAGAGAUUUGGCAGCUGAGCUACAAAAUGAAAAAAACUUUCUUUCAACUAGAACAAGGUGAGAGGCGACUGACGGAGUGCUGAAAUGAUCCAGAUGCACAAUCUAUUCAUCAUUACAAGAAAUAAGAUGAUUGACAGACAACUGAUCUCAACUUCAGUCUCGCGGUUAAACUAAGGUGGAUGGUUGUGAAGGGGGAGGAGGUGAAAUGGAAAAAAGACAGAGCAGAAAAAGAGAUUGAGGAUGUAGUUAGGGAAGAGAAAGAGAGAGAGAGAGAGAUAAGCAGCAUGUGUGAGCCUCUAACCACCAGCUGACACUUUUCAUCUGUUGUGUUGUGUCUGCUCGCCUGUUUCUCCAUCGGAGCAGUGUGGGUUUGUCUGAAUACAUCAAAACAGCCAGAAAAAGCGAGCUUGAGAGAAGAGAGAAAGAGAGAGACAGAGAGGGAGGAAGAAACAGAAUUUUCUUAGAGAGACUCCAGCAACAGCUUUCUGUCUCUCUUUCUCUUUCUUUUAGUUUUCUCUGUGUAAUAUCAUUUCCCCUCUCUGUCCUGUUUUUAUCGCUCUGGCCCCACACCCCCGCCCCCACCCAGCUUUCUCUCUCUCUUAGCGUCUCCUCUCAGAAGCAGAGUUGGGAGUUGGGAGCAAAAGGCAGGAGACAGACAAGAUAAAAGCUGUUUCCUGAUUCCUCAGCGCUCAGCUUCUCUGCUGUCAGGCAAGAAGACAGCGAGUCAAGACGGAGAAUUUCUUGCCAGAAGUAUCCCCACACAGCUGCUGU